rnacentral:rRNA from 1 species
GUGCUAACGUCCAUGGUCGAGAGGGAAACAACCCAGACCGCCAGCUAAGGUCCCAAAGUCAUAGCUAAGUGGGAAACGAAGUGGAAAGGCUUAGACAGCCAGGAUGUUGGCUUAGAAGCAGCCAUCAUUUAAAGAAAGCGUAAUAGCUCACUGGUCGAGUCUUUCUGCGCGGAAGAUGUAACGGGGCUAAGCUAUGCACCGAAGCUGCGGAUGCGUGUUUACACGCAUGGUAGGAGAGCGUUCUGUAAGCCUGAGAAGGUGAAGUGAAAACUUUGCUGGAGGUAUCAGAAGUGCGAAUGCUGACAUGAGUAGCGAUAAAACGGGUGAAAAACCCGUUCGCCGAAAGCCUAAGGUUUCCUACGCAACGUUAAUCGGCGUAGGGUUAGUCGGCCCCUAAGGCGAGGGCGAGAGCCGUAGUCGAUGGAAAACAGGUUAACAUUCCUGUACCGAUGUAAGAUGCGAUGGGGGGACGAAGAAGGCUAAGUCAUCCAACGAUUGGAAGAGUUGGUUUAAGCUUGUAGGCAGAUUGACUAGGCAAAUCCGGUUGAUCAUUAAUGCUGAGGAGUGACGACGAGUGGCGUAAGCCGCGAAGUGACUGAUGCCCAGCUUCCUAGAAAAGCCUCUAAGCUUCAGUCUUAUAUUGACCGUACCGCAAACCGACACAGGUAGGCGAGAUGAGAAUUCUCAGGCGCUUGAGAGAACCCAGGUGAAGGAACUCGGCAAAUUAGCACCGUAACUUCGGGAGAAGGUGCGCCCCGGUAGAUUGUAGUGGCUUGCCCACGAAGGUCGAUGGGGUUGCAGUGAAAAGGUGGCUGCGACUGUUUAACAAAAACACAGCACUCUGCAAACACGAAAGUGGACGUAUAGGGUGUGACUCCUGCCCGGUGCCGGAAGGUUAAUUGAUGGGGUGCAAGCUCUUGAUCGAAGCCCCGGUAAACGGCGGCCGUAACUAUAACGGUCCUAAGGUAGCGAAAUUCCUUGUCGGGUAAGUUCCGACCCGCACGAAUGGAGUAACGAUGGCCACACUGUCUCCACCUGGGACUCAGCGAAAUUGAAAUGGUUGUGAAGAUGCAAUCUACCCGCGGCUAGACGGAAAGACCCCGUGCACCUUUACUGUAGCUUUACAUUGGACUUUGACAAGACGUGUGUAGGAUAGGUGGGAGACUAUGAAGUGGGAACGCUAGUUCUCAUGGAGUCAACCUUGAAAUACCACCCUCGUGUUGUUGAGGUUCUAACC